rnacentral:rRNA from 1 species
UAAUACCAGCUCCUCAAGUGGUGGGGGUGAUUAUUGGGCCUGAAGCGUCCGUAGCCGGCUCGGUAAGUCUUCCGUUAAAUCCAACGACCUAAUCGUUGGGCUGCGGGAGAUACUGUCGGGCUAGGGGACGGGAGAAGCCGACGGUACUUCUGGGGUAGGGGUGAAAUCCUAUAAUCCUGGGAGGACCACCAGUGGCGAAGGCGGUCGGCUAGAACGCGCCCGACGGUGAGGGACGAAAGCUGGGGGAGCGAACCGGAUUAGAUACCCGGGUAGUCCCAGCCGUAAACGAUGCAGGCUAGGUGUCGGAUUGGCUACGAGCCACUCCGGUGCCGCGAGGAAGCUGUUAAGCCUGCCGCCUGGGGAGUCCGGUCGCAAGACUG